GAGAGAUGGCAGAGUGGUCGAAUGCGGCGGUCUUGAAAACCGUUGUACCGAAAGGUACCGGGGGUUCGAAUCCCUCUCUCUCC
rnacentral:tRNA from 1 species